rnacentral:rRNA from 1 species
AACACAUGCAAGUCGAACGGUAACAGGAAGCAGCUUGCUGCUUUGCUGACGAGUGGCGGACGGGUGAGUAAUGUCUGGGAAACUGCCUGAUGGAGGGGGAUAACUACUGGAAACGGUAGCUAAUACCGCAUAACGUCGCAAGACCAAAGAGGGGGACCUUCGGGCCUCUUGCCAUCGGAUGUGCCCAGAUGGGAUUAGCUAGUAGGUGGGGUAACGGCUCACCUAGGCGACGAUCCCUAGCUGGUCUGAGAGGAUGACCAGCCACACUGGAACUGAGACACGGUCCAGACUCCUACGGGAGGCAGCAGUGGGGAAUAUUGCACAAUGGGCGCAAGCCUGAUGCAGCCAUGCCGCGUGUAUGAAGAAGGCCUUCGGGUUGUAAAGUACUUUCAGCGGGGAGGAAGGCGACAGGGUUAAUAACCCUGUCGAUUGACGUUACCCGCAGAAGAAGCACCGGCUAACUCCGUGCCAGCAGCCGCGGUAAUACGGAGGGUGCAAGCGUUAAUCGGAAUUACUGGGCGUAAAGCGCACGCAGGCGGUCUGUCAAGUCGGAUGUGAAAUCCCCGGGCUCAACCUGGGAACUGCAUUCGAAACUGGCAGGCUAGAGUCUUGUAGAGGGGGGUAGAAUUCCAGGUGUAGCGGUGAAAUGCGUAGAGAUCUGGAGGAAUACCGGUGGCGAAGGCGGCCCCCUGGACAAAGACUGACGCUCAGGUGCGAAAGCGUGGGGAGCAAA